GUUAAAGGCCCACAAACCUUGGUUUCCUAUCGCAAGGUAUUUUUGCUCUGACAAUUUUAACAAAAUGCUUAUAAAAACAUUUAACAUUUUUAAAAAUGUAUUGCUUCCUCAGGAAGUGAUACUGAGCUACUGACUGUUUAGAGUUGGAACUUUAGAGAUCAUUUAAUGCAACCACCUCAUUUCCAGAUGAAGAAACAGCUCCAGAAAAGAAAACAACUUGCCAAGGGUAAUAGCACAAUGGUGGAAGAGCCACAAAAGGAACAGAGAACUCUUGGCUCUCAACUCGAUGACCUUGCCAUUGACUUCUAAAUCAUUUUUUUGACAAGUCUAUAUACCCCUGAGAAAACUUAAAGAAGUCCUGGAGUCAUUUUGUAAAUAAUACUAAUUUGUUGCAUUUGUUUAGUGUUUUAUAAUUUUUUAAGUAGUCUCAUAAACACAUUUACUUUUGAUCUUGACAGUAAUUCCUGCUAGCUGUGUGACUCUAAACAAGUCAAUUUAUCUCUCUGGUCCUCAGUUUCUUCAUCCAUAAAAUGGAGAUGAAAUCUGCUCUGUUUACCUUAUGGCUAAUGAUACUAUAAAGAAGUUCCAUUAUAAUGUAUUAAUGACGUCCUGAUUUAAAAAUCAGUAUUUUCAUGAGAUCUUAAUAUUUCAUUUUUCUUUCUUUUAGGAAUAACAUUAAAAUAUAUCCAGCUGUUCCACUUAUCAUAUGCUCUAAUAGAGACUGGAUUCAAUUCCAAGAUAAAUUUCCCAAAAUUUUACUCAUCAAAGAGUUGGACAGUAGUUCCUUGUAAUUCCUGGGCUUUGAUCAAUAUGCAAAGUGACUAGCAAAAUAGCACCUCCCAUUAUGAAAUGGAACUACCUCAGCAAUUGGAUCUUGCAUAAAAGAUGUCACUUAAUGGACCAACACUUGGAUACACAAGGAUAAAUAAGGGAAUUCUACUGCCUGGGCACUGGAAGAAGCAUUAGACUCCUGAAGGUUCACAAAUCCUGUAAAAUAUGUCCAUGGACCCCAGCUUAAUAUCUGCUCUAAGACUGUAAGUUGCAGGUGGAAAGUCAUUUUAUCAAGGUCACAAAUCUAGAGGGGUCAUCCUGGGACUAUGGAAAGAGAAUGUUGCAUAUUAUGUCUGACAGUAUCACUGGACUGAUGUUUUGGCUUCAGCUAUUUUUCUUUGAUACAAGAGAGUUCAAUUGCAGGGAGCAACAAGGAGGGAUCAUAUCUGAAUUCAAAUAAGAAAGUUGGUCUCCAGAUGUGGAAUGUUCUAUGCAUGCACACAGCCAUUCAAAAUCACUACUGACUGCAGUGAAGAGACAUAAGGAAAAUCAGAAAGAAGCAUAGAGAAGGCAGACAACUUGAAAACUACAGAUUGACCUUAUUACAGAUUUAAAAAAGAAAAGCCAAUGUACAGAAUUGAGAUCUACAGCUUCAUGUGUUGUCCUCUAGGUUCUAAUGUGUGUAGGAAAUAUGUGUUUUAUUUGAUGUUUAAAUUCAAAAUAAAAAUAAAAAUUUUUAAACUUGGGGGAAAAACUUAUGAACCCCCAAAUGGAACAUUGACCAGGUGUGUUCUGGUGAAUAUAAUAGUCACUCCUACUUAUAUAUACAAUUUCCUAUGAAAGUCAUCUAAGGAUCAUGUUAAUUUUUUUUUUUUUUUACAACUUUGAGAGUACCAGGAACUCAUGAUCAUGUAGUAAUUUCAGGUUUAAAAGGUCUUUUCUCAUAAUAAACCUUGAGAAAAUAAUGUAAGUAUUAUGAUCCCCAUUUUGCAGAUGAAGAAAAAAAUAAGACUCAGAGAGGUUAAUUUUCUUCCCAAAGUCAGAAUUUAAUUCAUUUUUCUCCUGACUCUCAGUUCAUUGUACUUAUCACCACAUCAUGUUACUUUUCCCACUGCUGACUUAAGAGAAGGAAUGUAAUCAACUAAGCACCCUGCAC